rnacentral:rRNA from 1 species
GACGAACGCUGGCGGCGUGCUUAACACAUGCAAGUCGAACGGAAAGGCCCUGCUUUUGUGGGGUGCUCGAGUGGCGAACGGGUGAGUAACACGUGAGUAACCUGCCCUUGACUUUGGGAUAACUUCAGGAAACUGGGGCUAAUACCGGAUAGGAGCUCCUGCUGCAUGGUGGGGGUUGGAAAGUUUCGGCGGUUGGGGAUGGACUCGCGGGUUAUCAGCUUGUUGGUUGGGUAGUGGCUUACCAAGGCUUUGACGGGUCGGCGGCCUGAGAGGGUGACCGGCCACAUUGGGACUGAGAUACGGCCCAGACUCCUACGGGAGGCAGCAGUGGGGAAUAUUGCACAAUGGGCGGAAGCCUGUUGCAGCAACGCCGCGUGCGGGAUGACGGCCUUCGGGUUGUAAACCGCUUUCGCCUGUGACGAAGCGUGAGUGACGGUAAUGGGUAAAGAAGCACCGGCUAACUACGUG